rnacentral:lncRNA from 1 species
ACUCCUUCCACAUCCAUGGGCUGAUUUUAUACAGUAGGGAGAGCUAGGUGCCUGGAAGUUCCCUUGAAGGAAUUCAAGAUUUUCCUUUAUUUCCAUACCUGGGGGGUGCCUAGCAGGCUGAUAAGAGAAGUCCUUGCCCGCUCUCAAGGGCGAGGAGCAACCUGGGGCCUGAAGGAGAUGGCAGCAUUGGUACGAAGGGUGUGGUUCUGAGCAGAGAGGACUCCCUUCCGUCCAGGUUACUGGGAGACAGAGGGGGACUUUUGAGACCUGCGAUUUUGGCUGGAGAAGCUGCUUUGGAAAUUGACAUCACC